UCUUCCAGCAGCUCAAGUUCUGAAAAUACAUCUGCCUUUCUAUGUAUGAGAGUAGCUGUGUGACACUGUAGCUGCCUGAUUCUUAAACAAGCAGAGUACUCUGCUUUGUGUCCAUGAUCCCUAUCAGAACCAGAGACCACCAAAGUUCUGCGAACCUUUCCAUCCCCCAGUGAGACCCUUUGUCUGAACCAAGCUUCUACUGUUGAUUCUGACUGCAUCAAGCCAGAAGUGUUCCAGGGCAGAAAUGGCUGCAGAUCUGUCAGGACCACAUUUGGAUAGAGAAGGAUGCUUGUCCAGCAGAAGUGUCUGGGCUCUUACAUAAAUUAAACAGCAAGGGAUGAGGAGGAAUUGGAGCAGCCAACUUAAAUUGAGUAUAACCAUUUUCUGAGGAUAUGAUGUGACCACCACUGGCAUCAUUAACCACAUCAGGCAUUUUCUCAGCUAAGAUAAGAACAUAGAGGAGAAAUGGCUUUCCCAUCAGCCAGAACGGUUCCUUGUUUUUUAAUUUAUAAGUUAAUGCUGUUUCCUCCUCAUCAAGUUUCUUUGCGUUUGCUGAAAAUGUCAGGAAGAUGCCAUAGAGAGCUUAAUAUUUUAUAUGCUAGAAAUGUUAGCUUUUUUAUAUCCUUGGUCCUGUUACCUGCCUAGCAACUUCCCUACUGCAUGCAGUGCUUAUGUGGCUAUUGUUAUCUACUGAAAUAUAGUUGGGAUAUUUCCUGUUACGUUCUGUGACAAGGUAGUGUUAUGGGAAUCUAUUUCUACAAACACUGUUUUGUUUGGUUAUCUUACUGUGCAAGCUCAAGAACUCCCUUAUCAGAGCUCAUAGGAUUUGCAGACUAGAAUGGCUCUAAAUGACAAGCAAAUCACAAUGACUAGAGAUAGCAUUUGCAUGGUGAAGCACUGUAGGGUCCCAGGCAUACCAAAGAAUACACAAAGUUGGGCAUCUGGGAUUCUUGGAAAUACUUCAUCACCAAGUGGUUAUAUUUUAUAGACAAAGAACUCAGACAGUUAGAAAAUAUAGAUAUUGUCCUAAGAGUAUAUCCUUGGGUUGGGACGAUCCCCUGGAGAAGGGAAAGGCUACCCACUCCAGUAUUUUGGCCUGGAGAAUUCCAUUGACUGUAUAGUCCACGGGAUCACAAAGAGUCCAACACAGUUGAGCACCUUUCACUCUACUUAAGAGUAUAUGCAAAAUUUAGUUUUCUUAAGUUCCAAAGGAAGUAGAAUUUCUAAGUUAGUCUUUACUGUGUCUUUUUAAAAAAAUUUAUAAGUAGCAUUUAUUUCACAUGCUUCAUUUUUAAAUCACUUUUCUUGUAAAAAUUAUUUUUAUGUCUCACAAUGACUGUAUAAGGUUAGUACUAACAUUUCAUUUUACAAAAGGAGAAGGAUAAAUGAGUUGUCCAGGAUCAUCUCAAGUGUAAGUGGAAAAGACAGGACUUUUCAUCGAUGCUCUGCUGACACAAACCUAAUCUGACACCCAGAGAAACACAAAUGAGCAGUGUGCUAUUCAAUAGAAGUGUUUUUUUUCCAAAACAACUCGGUCUUUCAUGUUGUAAGUUUAACUUACAUAUGAGACUUCUACUUUUUGGUAGCUCCUGAAUUAUUUUUUUGUUUCCCUUCUCAUCCAAACACAGAAAGCAUAAUCUACAUUCCCUGUCCCUAUUCAUCUUCAUUCAUCUCUAAAUUCUCAGCAUCCUAGUUUCUUUAGUCACCAGAUAUGUUGAUCUCAAGAGAUCAACAAGCACUCUUAAUUGUUAAAGUGUACAUUUGGGGUAAUUUUCUAGAAUUGUUAUAUUUCUAUCAAAUUGACUCUCUUAUUACAAAAUGCCACUCUUAAUUUCUAGUGAUACUUGCCUUGUCUUUACUCUGUCUUAUAUUAAUAAAAUGGCUUUCUUUUCCCAUUCUUUUCUUUAAAAUUUUCUGUGUACCUAAUAUUUAGAUCUCAUCUCUUAUAAACAGUAUGUAUCUGACAUUUAAAAAUUCAGCCUGAAAUUUUUGUCUUUAAAUUGGAGUCUUGAGUCCAUUAAUAUUUAGUAUACUUUGGCUUGUAUCUAUCAUUUUGUUGAUUUUUAUUUUUUAAAAUGUUAUUUCUAUUAUUUAUUUUUUAUUCCUCUGUUAUUUUUUCUUUUGGAUUACUUAUGAAUUUCUCAAUCUAUUUAUUCUAGUAAUUUUAAAAUUCACUUUAAGUCAUACUUAGGCAUUUUGAUUUUUAGAAUAUUUACCUACUUAUUUACUUUUUCUAUUAAUAGCUUUCUGAAAUGUCAUGCUCCCUUGUAGGAUAAUUGCCUCUGCCUAAAAUCUCUCUUUAGUAUUUCUUGGAAGGCAAGAUAACCUUCUGUCUGAUAACCUCUUAUUUUGUCUCUGUUUCUAUAGGAUAUUUUUUUGAGCAUAGAAUUCUAUGUUCGCAUGCUUUUUUUUCUUUUUCACAUUUUAAAGAUGUGAUUUCACUACCUUCUAUUUGACCACUUAUACUGGGAAGUCAGCUGUCAUUUUUACUCUUGCUCCUUUAAAAUAUCUUGUUUUCCCUUUGCAGUUUUUAAGAUAAUUUUUCAGUCUUUUAUUUUUUAAAGCAUUUAAUUAUACUCUACCUAUGCAUGUUUUCUUUAUACUUUUCUUUCUCGAGUGUUGUAUAGCUUUUGACAGUAAGGAUUGAAGCCUUUUAUAGUCUUGGAAAAUUCUCACCAGUUAUGUCUGCAAAUAUUCCUUCUGCCCUAUUCUCUUUCCUCUACUUUUAAAGCUCCAAUUAUAUAUAUACGCUUGCCUUUUGACUGUGUUCCACUUGUAUUUUUUAUAAUAUUCUAUUUUUUUUGUUGUUUCCAAUUAUAUUCUUUCUAUUGAUCUCUGGGUCCUGUCUUCUCUUAUGUUCUUAAUUCCCAGUAAUGAAUUCUAACUUAAGACAUUUUAUUUUUAGUUCUGGAAUAUAUAUUUGAGUCAUUAUAGAUCCCAAUUCUUUACCGAAAUUCUCUGUGUUUUUAUUCAUUUUGUUCAGCUCUUACUCUGUUUUCUUUAACAUAUUAUAUAUUGUUAUUUUAAAAUACCUAUAUAUUAAACCUGAUAUUUUGAUUAUUUAUAGAUAUGCUUUCACUGUACUAUUUUUUUGUUUUCCUCUUUUAAUCACAUUUCUCAUUGCUUCAUGCUUCUAUUAGUUUUUCUAUUAUGUUGUAAGCAUAGUUUAGAAGAUGAUAUCAUGUAAAAGCAGUACUCCCCCCUUUUAUUUUAGUCAGGCAUAAAGAACGGGUGGGUGGUAACUCCAAUCAAAUCAGGUAUUGAGUUCAGUCAGAGCUAGGUUGCAGAAAGACUCAGUCUGUCUCUGGUUUGACCUCGUUCAUUGUGCAUGAUCCUCCUCGGGCCAUUAAGAACAUGUUAGGUCUCUAUCUCCUCUGCUCUGAAAGGCUACAGAAGAUUUUAUUCUGUCCUAUGAAGGCAGAACCCCAAUUCAAGUAGUCCUUAUUGUUUCUAUCACUCUCCAAUCAUUAAAACUGUGAUUUUGUAAUUUUCCAGAUUUUAUCUAAAUGUUGCAACAAGAACAUUGAGCUUCUAUGACCCAGCAGUCUUAUCCAAAAACAGUAAUCUUCUUCUCUCUUAAAAUUUCACUUUAGCAUCAAAUCAUCCUCUAAGGUGUCUAUAUUUUUUAUAUUGAUUUUUUUAAUGUUGAAUGAGGUUAGUUAUCAUUUUUUUUAACAUGCAUUAUAAUUUUACACUCACCAUUGUUUUGUUUGAGAUGCUAAAUUGUAUCUGACUCUUUUGCACCCCAUGGACUGUAACCUGCCAGGCUCUUUUGUCCCUGGGAUUUCACUGACAAGAAUACUGGAGUGGGUUGCCAUUUCCUUCUCCAAGGGAUCUUCCUGGCCUAGGAAUCAAACCUGGGUCUCCAUAAUGAAUUAUAAUUUUGAUUAUGCAUGUUUCUAUUUCCCUAAAACACUCUCAGGUUUCAAGACCUUCUUGUGGAAUAUGCAUUCUUAAGUGGCUUAGCAUUUAUGACUAAAAUGGGGGAAAUAAAUACUCCUCAGUAUAUCC